GAUAAACGCUGGCGGCGUGCUUAACACAUGCAAGUCGAACGAAGUUUUUCCUUCGGGAGAAACUUAGUGGCGGACGGGUGAGUAACGCGUGGGUAACCUGCCCUGUACAGGGGGACAACAGCUGGAAACGGCUGCUAAUACCGCAUAAGCCCUUAGCACUGCAUGGUGCAUAGGGAAAAGGAGCAAUCCGGUACAGGAUGGACCCGCGUCUGAUUAGCCAGUUGGCAGGGUGACGGCCUACCAAAGCGACGAUCAGUAGCCGAUCUGAGAGGAUGUACGGCCACAUUGGGACUGAGACACGGCCCAGACUCCUACGGGAGGCAGCAGUGGGGAAUAUUGCACAAUGGAGGAAACUCUGAUGCAGCGACGCCGCGUGAGUGAAGAAGUAUUUCGGUAUGUAAAGCUCUAUCAGCAGGGAAGAAAAUGACGGUACCUGACUAAGAAGCACCGGCUAAAUACGUG
rnacentral:rRNA from 1 species